UUCUAGGCGCCGGCGACGCGUUCCAGAAAGCCUCUUUGGUCCUCACUUCCAGUCCCUGCUGAGCCCUUUGUGCUGCUUCUUCAGGUGUUUCUGUUGUUCUUCUGGCUUGUUUUCCUGAAGCUCGUCUCCAGCGUGCCUCACUGAGGGGAUUAUCUAUGUUCCUUUGUCUAAAUGAGUCAGGAAAAGGAGAUACACGUGGAAUAGUUACACAGCCUCAUUCCUGUUGAGCACCAGAACCGUAUAUCAGUGUGUCCGCUGGGCAUCUCCACUUGGAUGUUCUACACUGUCAGAGCUUCUCAUCCUUCUCCUUCCAGUAGGAAAUGUGACAGUGCGAAUAAGAGCAUUCAUGUGUUGGAUUCUGUUUCUGUGCCUAAGGAGCGAAGACUGCUGCCCUGUCUUGCCCGCUGUCUGCCGCACACGGUGGGGAGUCACCCCAGGACCUCGCUUCAGACAUGUAAGUUCCCCCAUCCAUUAAACCA